rnacentral:rRNA from 1 species
GACGGAGGGAGCAAGCGUUGUUCGGAUUUACUGGGCGUAAAGGGCGUCUAGGCGGGCCAGAAAGUCAGGUGUGAAACCCCCCGGCUCAACCGGGGAUCUGCACUUGAUACUGCUGGUCUUGAGUACGGAAGAGGGAGGCGGAAUUCCUGGUGUAGCGGUGAAAUGCGUAGAUAUCAGGAAGAACACCGGUGGCGAAGGCGGCCUCCUGGUCCGAUACUGACGCUAAAGCGCGAAAGUGUGGGGAGCAAACAGGAUUAGAUACCCUGGUAGUCCACACUGUAAACGAUGGAUGCUAGGUGUCGGGGGUAUCGACCCCCCCGGUGCCGCAGCUAACGCAUUAAGCAUCCCGCCUGGGGAGUACGGUCGCAAGGCUGAA